AUUGAACGCUGGCGGCACGCCUAACACAUGCAAGUCGAGCGGUAACAUGAUUUGUAGCAAUACAAAUUGAUGACGAGCGGCGGACGGGUGAGGAACACGUAGGAAUCUGCCCAGAAGCGGGGGACAACCAAGGGAAACUUUGGCUAAUACCGCGUAAUCUCGCAAGAGUAAAGCUGCCCGCAAGGGUGGCGCUUCUGGAGGAGCCUGCGUACGCUUAGCUAGCUGGUGAGGUAAGAGCUCACCAAGGCGAUGAUCGGUAACUGCGCUGAAAGGACGACCAGUCGAACUGGGACUGAGACACGGCCCAGGCUCCUACGGGAGGCAGCAGUGGGGAAUAUUGGACAAUGGGGGCAACCCUGAUUCAGCGAUGCCGCGUGGGUGAAGAAGGCGUUCGGGUUGUAAAGCCAUUUAGGUUGGGAAGAAGUGUACGGGGCGAAUAACCCCGUAUGUUGACGGUACCGACAAAAUAAGCACCGGCAAACUCUGUGCCAGCCGCCGCCGUAA
rnacentral:rRNA from 1 species